UCCGGUUGAUCCUGCCGGACCCCACUGCUAUCGGGAUAGGACUAAGACAUGCUAGUCGUGUGCCUCAGCCAAAACGAGGCACGGCGCACAGCUCAGUAACACGUGGCUAACCUGCCCUUAGGACGAGAAUAACCCCGGGAAACUGGGGCUAAUGCUCGAUAGGUGAAGAACUCUGGAAUGAGUCUUCACUUAAAAGAGUCUGCGUUAUGCUCGUAGAUUUCGCUUAAGGAUGGGGCCGCGACCGAUCAGGUUGUUGGUGAGGUAAUGGCUCACCAAGCCUUUUACCGGUGCGGGCCGUGAGAGCGGGAGCCCGGAGAUGGGCACUGAGACAAGGGCCCAGGCCCUACGGGGCGCAGCAGUCGCGAAAACUUUGCAAUACACGAAAGUGUGACAGGGCUAUCCCGAGUGCCAUCCGCUGAGGAAGGCUUUUACCCAGUCUAGAACGCUGGGGGAAUAAGGAGAGGGCAAGUCUGGUGUCAGCCGCCGCGGUAAUACCAGCUCUCCGAGUGGUGUGGAUGUUUAUUGGGCCUAAAGCAUCCGUAGCUGGCUAAGUUAGUCCCCUGUUAAAUCCAACGAAUUAAUCGUUGGAUCGCGGGGGAUACUGCUUGGCUAGGGGACGAGAGAGGCAGACGGUAUUUCCGGGGUAGGGGUGAAAUCCUAUAAUCCCGGGAAGACCACCAGUGGCGAAGGCUGUCUGCUAGAACGCGCCCGACGGUGAGGGAUGAAAGCUGGGGGAGCGAACCGGAUUAGAUACCCGGGUAGUCCCAGCUGUAAACGAUGCAGGCUAGGUGUUUGGACGGCCACGUGCCGUUCUAGUGCCGCAGGGAAGCUGUUAAGCCUGCCGCCUGGGGAGUACGAUCGCAAGAUUGAAACUUAAAGGAAUUGGCGGGGGAGCACCACAAGGGGUGGAGCUUGCGGUUUAAUUGGAGUCAACGCCGGA
rnacentral:rRNA from 1 species